GCUGGUGUAAAUGAUGACUUCACUUUUUUCCCCAUCAGAUCGACAAUGUUGAUGUGUUUGAAUAACUUGCCAGUUAAUUCUGAUAGACCAGC